UACGUAGGUGGCAAGCGUUGUCCGGAUUUACUGGGCGUAAAGAGCGCGCAGGCGGUCGACCAAGUCGCGUGUGAAAGCCCCCCGGCUCAACUGGGGAGGGUCACGCGAUACUGAUCGACUCGAAGGCAGGAGAGGGUAGUGGAAUUCCCGGUGUAGUGGUGAAAAUGCGUAGAUAUCGGGAGGAACACCAGUGGCGAAGGCGACUACCUGGCCUGUUCUUGACGCUGAGGCGCGAAAGCUAGGGUAGCAAACGGGG
rnacentral:rRNA from 1 species